rnacentral:rRNA from 1 species
GAUGAACGCUAGCUACAGGAUUAACACAUGCAAGUCGAGGGACCGGCGCACGGGUGAGUAACACGUAUCCAACCUGCCCUUUACUCGGGGAUAGCCUUUCGAAAGAAAGAUUAAUACACGAUGUAAAGGAUGGGGAUGAGUUCCCUUAGGUUGGUGGUGAGGUACCGGCGAACCCAGCCUUCGAUGGAUAGGGGUUCUGAGAGGAAGGUCCCCCACAUGGGAACUGGGACACGGUCCAAACUCCUACGGGAGGCAGCAGUUGGGAAUAUAGGUCAAUGGGCGUUAGCCUGAACCAGCCAAGUAUCGUGAAGGAUGAAUGCUUAUGGGUCGUAAACUUCUUUUAUAUAAGAAUAUGUAUUAUAUGAAUAAGGAUCGGCCAACUCCGUGCCAGCAGCCGCGGUAAUAC